AUCAGGUUAUUCAUGAUAGGGGUUAAGGGUGGAUAUGUCACCAGCACUCGUACCAAAGCAAAUUCAAAACACCUGAAGUGCUCGACUUUUUUUGAGAUUGGCCGUGAGAGUACUCAGAUAUUACUGCUCCACCAGACUCAAAGAACAAGGAUGAUGUGCAAGGAUUACACAAUAAGUGAGCACACAUUAGACACAAUAGUGCAACGGAGUGGUGAGAAAACGUGCUUCCCACUUCCAUCUGCUGCACAAGCUUGAAAAGAGAUCCAUCAUCACGUCAUCAACAUUAGCACAGUAUAUAAAAGCUGUGACCCCACCUACACACACUAAUAACUACAGAGAGAGAGGCCGAGGUGGUGAAGAACUGAAUCUGCUUACAUUUCCAUGAGGGGAAAAGCAAAUCACUACAGAUCUCUUCUAAGACCAGCGUGCAGUUCAUCCAACACAGUGAGACAGCACAUUGAGGUCGGAUCUUCACCACCAGCAGGGAGAUGUUUACAUUGCACGGGCUGAAUGUCAGGAUCACUAUCAGGGGCCCCACAGGAUGAGACCUGAAGAUGAGCACUCAGCUUGAAAAACAUUGAUUGUCUUCCAUGUAAAAGCCUACUGUGUUCUUGUGUGCUUUAUUGUUAUGCAGCUAGUAAGUAGCUCAGAAAUGUUCACCCUACAGAAUGUAGUGGCGUCCUUUUAAACGAUUCACAUCAUCGCAAUGUGGUAGUUUCUACUGGAGCAAAAAUAUUCUUGUUUCUUUGGUUACAGUGAUAAAAUGAAGAGAGAGCCCAAAAAAAUGUCAUGCUUCAAUUUGUUCAGAGUAACACAUAAUGCAAUAUGUGUGUAAUGUUUUGACAGUAAAGAUUCGGUGAGAGCACAGAAUUCAUACAAAAAAGUGGGUCACCUGAAGUUUAUUCAAUUCCUCUAGAACUGAAAGACCAGCGGUACAACAGAAAAUGUGCAGAUAUUCAAUAAGUUUCCGAAUCUUCCUUUUGUAGACAUAGCGGUGGAGCUUCUGUGGUCGUCACCAAUCAAUGGUUACAUUCAGACACAUUGCUGCAUCAGUGGUAUUUCCUUUCAUUAGCAGUAGUUCUGCCUCAUACUUGUUUGCAGCUAUACUCUUUUCUUAGUAGCAUGGUAAUUAUUAUUAUUUUGUUAGCACAACAUAAUAAAGACCCAGCAACUGAAUCAUGUCACAUUGUGAAAUGAAAAUACAAAAGUACUAUGAAUUAAAUGUGAUUAAUGCCUCAAGAGCUAUUGAGAUGUGGUUCAUAAUGAAUUAAAGGACAGUUCAUUGUCUUUAUCAUUUUUUCUUUCCUCUAGUUGCUUAUGUAUUUAAAGUUCUGUAAAGUUCAAUAGGCCGAAUUGCACCAUAAAGGGAGCUUCUCUCCUCCACAGAAAAUACUGCUCCUAAAGCUGGUGAAACACCUCGUCAGUGGUGUGGCCAAAACUCCCUCAUCAGUAUGAUGUAAUGUGACAUUACAGAGGUCCACCCACCUAGCAUCUAGUCUGGCACACACCCUAACAAAGCCAGGUAAAGCGAGCGAAGGCCAAAAUUUCCUGGAAAUUCAAGCUAUAAGUGCUUUACCAAUCACAACAGAGUGGGCCACCUGUCCAAUCAGAGCAGAUAAGGGUUUAUCGGGAGGGGGGCCUGAAAGAGACACAAGCUGAAACCUAGUGUUUCAGACAGAGGCUGCUGCAGCAAUGUA